AGCUGGACAAGUACUGGUCUCAGCAGAUUGGAGAGAGCACUACAGUGGUCACCACGCAGUCCGCUGAGGUUGGAGCUGUUGAGAUGA
ensembl:miRNA